UACGAAGGGGGCUAGCGUUGUUCGGAAUUAUUGGGCGUAAAGCGCACGUAGGCGGCUUUGUAAGUUAGAGGUGAAAGCCCGGGGCUCAACUCCGGAAUUGCCUUUAAGACUGCAUCGCUAGAAUUGUGGAGAGGUAAGUGGAAUUCCGAGUGUAGAGGUGAAAUUCGUAGAUAUUCGGAAGAACACCAGUGGCGAAGGCGACUUACUGGACACAUAUUGACGCUGAGGUGCGAAAGCGUGGGUAGCAAACAGG
rnacentral:rRNA from 1 species